GAUGAACGCUGGCGGCGUGCCUAAUACAUGCAAGUCGAGCGAACGGACGAGAAGCUUGCUUCUCUGAUGUUAGCGGCGGACGGGUGAGUAACACGUGGAUAACCUACCUAUAAGACUGGGAUAACUUCGGGAAACCGGAGCUAAUACCGGAUAAUAUUUUGAACCGCAUGGUUCAAAAGUGAAAGACGGUCUUGCUGUCACUUAUAGAUGGAUCCGCGCUGCACUAGCUAGUUGGUAAGGUAACGGCUUACCAAGGCAACGAUGCAUAGCCGACCUGAGAGGGUGAUCGGCCACACUGGAACUGAGACACGGUCCAGACUCCUACGGGAGGCAGCAGUAGGGAAUCUUCCGCAAUGGGCGAAAGCCUGACGGAGCAACGCCGCGUGAGUGAUGAAGGCCUUCGGAUCGUAAAACUCUAUUAUUAGGGAAGAACAUAUGUGUAAGUAACUGUGCACAUCUUGACGGUACCUAAUCAGAAAGCCACGGCUAACUACGUG
rnacentral:rRNA from 1 species